GGACCAAGGAGUCUAGCAUGUGCGCGAGUUACUGGGACUCGAUAAACCUAAGGGCACAAUGAAAGUAAAGGCACGCCUUGUGCGUUUGCUUAGGGAGGAUGGGUCGUUUUUAUACUUCCCCGCACUCCCGGGGCGUCUCGCGCUCAUUGCGAGUUGAGGCGCACCCUGAGCGCACAUGCUGGGACCC
rnacentral:rRNA from 1 species